UUGUUAAUUUCUGGUCUUACUAGCGUAUAUAUUCAUUUCUAUUUUGUGCUCAUGGGCCCUUGAUGUAUUACGUACGUGUGUUAGGUUGAAGCAUGAGGCUGGAAGGGGUCUUGUGCGAGGACUAGCGUUUGCUUCAGUCAAACCAAAAUACUUCUAAAAUUGCAGCUGCACUUGUUGGUCUGAUGUACAUGAGAAGCCCCAAUUUUGUUGGCAAUAGAUGCAUGGUUUCCCAGUAAUUAAAAUAACUUAAUUUUUUUAUAUGAUGUAUGGUAGUCAUGUGUCUGAUGUUCUUCGUGUAUCGGAUUCCAAGAGUUUUAGGAUGGGCGGUACGGUUCCCAUGUUUGAUGUUUUUUACUUUCGCAAAAUUGGUUGAUGCUGAUGAGAAUGGCAACGGUGGUCUUUGACACUUAUAUUUUUAAUGUAUAUAAUGUUCCCAGUUUUAUUGUUUUACUCUCUUUGGUUCAAUAAGAUUAAGAUACAUACUUUGCCUUGUGCUGAAUCUGAUGUCGUUUAAAUUCUAGAAUUUUUAGGAUGGGUUGCAAGUUUCUCUUGUAGGACGUUUUCUUGGUUUCUUAAUUUUUUUUGUGAUAACAUAGGUGAUUCUGUUUGUACCUCAAACUUGCCUUUCUAUGUUUAAGUUUCAAGAAGACAUUAUUUGAUGUUAGAUGGCCAUUAUGUUUGUUUCAUGUGGCAGAGGACUAAUGGUACUCUUCCAUGAAGAGAAGCAAGUUGAUCAGUAUGUAGUAGCAGGCAUUGGUGAAGAUUUGAGAGGCAGGGAGGGAUUGCUCAAGUGGAAACAGAGCAAGAACCAAAAGGAGCUUAAGAUUUUGCUACUACCUUGCUAAUAGCUUUGUGAGAUUAGUUAGGUAUUAUCCAGGCCUAGGUACCCGUCCUUGAUGAUGGCUUCCACAAGCUAAGGUGCAGGGGUGAACUAAGUUGGGAUUUUGCAGCAGCGACGGUCACAACUAUCGGUGGAGAUCGAGCUAACGACCUCACAAAAAAUUCUACAGAUUCAUCAAACACCGAAGGAGGUUAGUGUGUACCUGAGCGGGAACGGUGGCCGUUGUGGUCUUGCUGGAGCCUCCCUUGCCGUGGAAAGUCACCAGCUUCAGGGAGCGACAGUGGCAACUGCAAGGAUUUGGCUUGCCGCUACGAGCAACGGCGACCCCAUUUGCUGAUUCCGCAGCUCCGAGCUGCAGCAGGAGCUACUGGGCGGCCGAG